AUUUAUUUAGUAUAUAAAGUAUACUUGGCUUCCAACCAGAAGGUCUAAUUGUUUAGAAUAAAUA
rnacentral:tRNA from 1 species